CGCGGCCUAUCAGCUUGUUGGUAAGGUAACGGCUUACCAAGGCGAAGACGGGUAGCUGGUCUGAGAGGAUGAUCAGCCACACUGGUACUGGAACACGGACCAGACUCCUACGGGAGGCAGCAGUGAGGAAUAUUGGGCAAUGGGCGAAAGCCUGACCCAGCCACGCCGCGUGUGUGAUGAAGGCCUUCGGGUCGUAAAGCACUGUGGGGAGAGACGAAACAGCGCAUCAGGAAAUGGUUGCGCCUUGACGGUACCUCCCUAGCAAGCACCGGCUAACUCUGUGCCAGCAGCCGCGGUAAUACAGAGGGUGCAAACGUUGCUCGGAUUUACUGGGCGUAAAGCGCGUGUAGGCGGACUCGCAAGUCGGUUGUGAAAUCCCUGGGCUCAACCUAGGAACUGCAUCCGAAACUGCUUGUCUUGAGUAAUGGAGAGGGUGGCGGAAUUCCCGGUGUAGAGGUGAAAUUCGUAGAUAUCGGGAGGAACAUCAGUGGCGAAGGCGGCCACCUGGACAUUUACUGACGCUGAGACGCGAAAGCGUGGGGAGCAAACAGGAUUAGAUACCCUGGUAGGCCACGCCGUAAACGAUGAGCAUUAGGUGCAGCGGAUAUUGACCUCUGCUGUGCCGUAGCUAACGCGUUAAAUGCCCCGCCUGGGGAGUACGG
rnacentral:rRNA from 1 species